GCCGGAGAGGGGCGCAGGCGUCCGGGGAGCCGCGGUGCUGGGGGCGCGGGCGGGGACGAGGGCCGGGCCUGGCGCGCGCCCUGGGGCCCGCUGGCCUGUGAGCGGGACAGACCUGCGGCCCCCGGACGCCCCCGUCCAGACCGGGGCCUCCGGGGGUCCCCAGGCCCCGCCGCGCCGCGCCCUCCCCCGAGCUCAGGGUCUUACUAAGUUGCUGAUGCUGGUCUCAAACUUGGCGAUCUUCUACCUCUGCUCCGGAGCCGCUGGAUUCCAAGUGCGCUGCCACACCCAGUUUGAGCUGUAUUUUGAAGAGGAGAAAGAGCAGCCAUGUCUGUGCAGGUGGCGGCCCCCGGGAGCAUGGGGCUGGGUCCAGAGCGCCUGAACCCGGAGGAGCUGGUGCGGCAGACACGACAGGUGGUGCAGGGGCUGGAGGCCCUGCGGGCAGAGCACCGCAGCCUGGCUGGUCACCUGGCGGAAGCCCUGGCCGUGCAGGGCCCUGUGCCUGGCUCGGAGCUGCUGGAGGAGAAGCAGCAGGUGGUGGGCCACUCCCUGGAGGCCAUCGAGCUGGGGCUAGGCGAGGCCCAGGUGCUGCUGGCCCUGUCGGCACACGUGGGCGUGCUGGAGGCUGAGAAGCAGCGGCUGCGGGCACAGGCCCGGAGGCUGGCGCAGGAGAACGCCUGGCUGCGCGAGGAGCUGGAGGAGACGCAGCGGCGGCUGCGGGCCAGCGAGGAGGCCGUGGCCCAGCUGGAGGAGGAGAAGAACCAUCUCCAGUUCCUGGGGCAGCUGCGGCAGUAUGACCCGCCCGAGGAGAGCCAGCGACCUGAGUCCCCGCCUCGCAGAGACAGCCUGGCCUCCCUGUUCCCCAGUGAGGAGGAGGAGAGGAAAGGCCCCGAAGCAGCAGCGGCCGCAGCAGCCCAGCAGGGCGGCUACGAGAUCCCCGCCCGCCUUCGGACCCUGCACAACCUGGUGAUCCAGUAUGCGGGCCAGGGCCGCUACGAGGUCGCUGUGCCUCUGUGCCGCCAGGCCUUAGAGGACCUGGAGCGGAGCUCGGGCCACUGCCACCCUGACGUGGCCACCAUGCUCAACAUUCUGGCCCUGGUGUACCGGGACCAGAACAAGUACAAGGAGGCCACAGACCUCCUCCAUGACGCCCUGCAGAUCCGGGAGCAGACGCUGGGUCCUGAACACCCUGCGGUGGCCGCCACCCUCAACAACCUGGCAGUCCUCUACGGGAAGCGUGGGCGUUACCGGGAGGCAGAGCCCCUGUGCCAGCGCGCCCUGGAGAUCCGUGAGAAGGUCCUGGGCGCCGACCACCCAGACGUGGCCAAGCAGCUCAACAACCUGGCCCUGCUCUGCCAGAACCAGGGCAAGUUUGAGGAUGUGGAACGGCACUACGCCCGCGCCCUGAGCAUUUAUGAGGCCCUGGGUGGCCCCCACGACCCCAACGUGGCCAAGACCAAGAACAACCUGGCCUCUGCCUACCUGAAACAGAACAAGUACGAGCAGGCGGAGGAGCUGUACAGAGAGAUCCUGAGCAGGGAGGGCCUGCCGCCACCAAGGGGAGCUCCCAACACAGGCACGGCUGGUGAUGCAGAACAACAGGUGAGACAGGCUUUGCUGUGGCUCCUGAUGGGGGUGGGGACCGACGGGCCAGCUAGGGUUCGGUCACUGUCCCGUGCCCUCCUCAGGCUCUGCGAAGGAGCAGCUCCUUCUCUAAGCUCCGCGAGUCUCUCCGGCGUGGAAGUGAGAAGCUGGUCUCCCGCCUCCGAGGGGAGGGCUUGGCAGGGGCCGCAGGGUGAGUGCUGGCUCUCGGUGGCAGAGCCCCUCCCCCCAUGCUGCUCCUGGUGGCUCCCAGCUCCUCUGUGAAGGUCCAGCCUAGCGCGGAGAGGUCCUCCCAGAGCGGGAGCCAGACCUCCCGGGUUUCCCUUGUUCUUCUCUGGCCCAUCCAUUGCAGGAUGAAGAGAGCCAUGUCACUCAACAUGCUGAACAUGGAUGGUCCCAGAGCGACUGGGGCUCAGCUCCCCAGUCGGCCCCUGAGUGAGGCCCCUCGGACCCUCAGUGCCAGUACCCAGGACCUGAGCCCCCGCUAACGCAGACAGGACCA